rnacentral:rRNA from 1 species
AGUGAACGCUGGCGGUAGGCCUAACACAUGCAAGUCGAACGGCAGCACAGUAAGAGCUUGCUCUUACGGGUGGCGAGUGGCGGACGGGUGAGGAAUACAUCGGAAUCUACUUUUUCGUGGGGGAUAACGUAGGGAAACUUACGCUAAUACCGCAUACGACCUACGGGUGAAAGCAGGGGAUCUUCGGACCUUGCGCGAUUGAAUGAGCCGAUGUCGGAUUAGCUAGUUGGCGGGGUAAAGGCCCACCAAGGCGACGAUCCGUAGCUGGUCUGAGAGGAUGAUCAGCCACACUGGAACUGAGACACGGUCAGAAUCCUACGGGAGGCAGCAGGGGGGAAUAUUGGACAAUGGGCGCAAGCCUGAUCCAGCCAUACCGCGUGGGUGAAGAAGGCCUUCGGGUUGUAAAGCCCUUUUGUUGGGAAAGAAAAGCAGCAGGUUAAUACCCCGCUGUUCUGACGGUACCCAAAGAAUAAGCACCGGCUAACUUCGUGC